rnacentral:hammerhead_ribozyme from 1 species
AUCCAGUUGACGAGUCCCAAAUAGGACGAAAUGCGCAUCCUAGAU